AAAUUGAAGAGUUUGAUCAUGGCUCAGAUUGAACGCUGGCGGCAGGCCUAACACAUGCAAGUCGAACGGUAACAGGAAACAGCUUGCUGUUUCGCUGACGAGUGGCGGACGGGUGAGUAAUGUCUGGGAAACUGCCCGAUGGAGGGGGAUAACUACUGGAAACGGUAGCUAAUACCGCAUAACGUCGCAGGACCAAAGAGGGGGACCUUCGGGCCUCUUGCCAUCGGAUGUGCCCAGAUGGGAUUAGCUAGUAGGUGGGGUAACGGCUCACCUAGGCGACGAUCCCUAGCUGGUCUGAGAGGAUGACCAGCCACACUGGAACUGAGACACGGUCCAGACUCCUACGGGAGGCAGCAGUGGGGAAUAUUGCACAAUGGGCGCAAGCCUGAUGCAGCCAUGCCGCGUGUAUGAAGAAGGCCUUCGGGUUGUAAAGUACUUUCAGCGGGGAGGAAGGGAGUAAAGUUAAUACCUUUGCUCAUUGACGUUACCCGCAGAAGAAGCACCGGCUAACUCCGUGCCAGCAGCCGCGGUAAUACGGAGGGUGCAAGCGUUAAUCGGAAUUACUGGGCGUAAAGCGCACGCAGGCGGUUUGUUAAGUCAGAUGUGAAAUCCCCGGGCUCAACCUGGGAACUGCAUCUGAUACUGGCAAGCUUGAGUCUCGUAGAGGGGGGUAGAAUUCCAGGUGUAGCGGUGAAAUGCGUAGAGAUCUGGAGGAAUACCGGUGGCGAAGGCGGCCCCCUGGACGAAGACUGACGCUCAGGUGCGAAAGCGUGGGGAGCAAACAGGAUUAGAUACCCUGGUAGUCCACGCCGUAAACGAUGUCGACUUGGAGGUUGUGCCCUUGAGGCGUGGCUUCCGGAGCUAACGCGUUAAGUCGACCGCCUGGGGAGUACGGCCGCAAGGUUAAAACUCAAAUGAAUUGACGGGGGCCCGCACAAGCGGUGGAGCAUGUGGUUUAAUUCGAUGCAACGCGAAGAACCUUACCUGGUCUUGACAUCCACGGAAGUUUUCAGAGAUGAGAAUGUGCCUUCGGGAACCGUGAGACAGGUGCUGCAUGGCUGUCGUCAGCUCGUGUUGUGAAAUGUUGGGUUAAGUCCCGCAACGAGCGCAACCCUUAUCCUUUGUUGCCAGCGGUCCGGCCGGGAACUCAAAGGAGACUGCCAGUGAUAAACUGGAGGAAGGUGGGGAUGACGUCAAGUCAUCAUGGCCCUUACGACCAGGGCUACACACGUGCUACAAUGGCGCAUACAAAGAGAAGCGACCUCGCGAGAGCAAGCGGACCUCAUAAAGUGCGUCGUAGUCCGGAUUGGAGUCUGCAACUCGACUCCAUGAAGUCGGAAUCGCUAGUAAUCGUGGAUCAGAAUGCCACGGUGAAUACGUUCCCGGGCCUUGUACACACCGCCCGUCACACCAUGGGAGUGGGUUGCAAAAGAAGUAGGUAGCUUAACCUUCGGGAGGGCGCUUACCACUUUGUGAUUCAUGACUGGGGUGAAGUCGUAACAAGGUAACCGUAGGGGAACCUGCGGUUGGAUCACCUCCUUA
rnacentral:rRNA from 1 species